UUUGGAAUAUCAGGGAUCGUGAGCCACUGCAUAUGGUUCUUCAUGAAUUGUUGAGUCUGAACAUAACUGCUUCUGAGCCCUGGAGGAAGGUUAAGCACUUUCUUGCCUGGAGCUCUGCAACUGGUGACUACAGCUCAUGUAACACAGAUUGGUAAAUACUUUGGAGAAUUAUUCAUUCUC
rnacentral:lncRNA from 14 species